rnacentral:lncRNA from 1 species
UUUGGACUCGUCUUUCAGGUCUAUAUGCGAUGUUUGUCUUGAAUUUUAGCGGUUUCAUCACUAACACUAGGGAAUUAUCAAAAGUUGAAAAUGCUUCUAAGGAGUAAAUGACGAAAGAAUAGUUAUCUUUUAACUCUUUGGAUAGGUUUUGAACACCAGGAACCAAAUUAUAAAUGACACAGCGAUCCGUCUUUUGUUCUGUGCAAGUACUGUAUUCUUUUCAUAGUUUGAAGGCUUGAUGACUUAUAUUAUAUCGAGUAUCUAUUCUCAUUGUUUCCACAAGUUCGCUGUUGCUUUAGUGAAUCCAAGAUCAAGUCCAGUAGUUGCAUGAAGGAAUAAUAAUGAUGGAAUUUGUGUAAAGUUUUAUGCUUUCAGGUCAAAAUCGAGUUACAGGGAUUGGUGCAUUACGGCUCAGAACUUGCUCAUUUAGCUAAUGAAGACAAAUCUAUGCUGUUUUACGUGCACACUCUAGAGCUUAAAGAUUGGACAUAGACUGCAUGACUCAUGACGGCUAUUUGUCUGGUUUCUGAUAAUUCCCCGGAAUCAAGCAAUUUUAAUACUUAAUUAGCUUAGUUGUGUUAAUUUUCCUCCAUUAUUAUGCAUAUUUUAUUCUUGCACUUAAUCAGGUUGUGCUGUUGGCCACUUUACAAAUGGUGAAAGACUUCAAAUGGGAGUCGUUCCAUUCUCUGGAAAGGCAAAAGCAGAAGUCACAUAUCCAUCACCCACAGUUAUAACUUGCAAGUGCUUAUCACUUGUGCUUAAUUAUAUGCUUCUUGGGUCUAGAAGUAAAGUGGGAAUUGGCAAAUCAAAACAAAAGGAGAAGGGGAAACAGAAUGGUGCCUUUACAUUCACAUGAGCAUGAUCAUUCCCACUUUGUGUCUUUUCGGAAACUGUAUAAUCUUUUGUUUUUGAAUGAAAAUGAUAUGUGCAUGAGUGAAGAACUUUCCCACUUUCGAGUUUAACGAUGAAAGUGCCUUUCUCUAUCAUGGAUCAAUUAUCAUUCCUCUUCCAUUAACAUCUAUAAAUGCUAGCUAGGGUUUGCUUGCUUGCUAGCUAGUUCUUGCUAAGGUGUUCACAUAUAG